rnacentral:misc_RNA from 1 species
AUUUUUUUUUCCCAAAAUAAAGACUUCAAAAAUACAAUUGCUCAAUCCCGAAUCAGGGAUUCCAGACUUGUCCUGCACCAACAGUUCAUUUAGCUAAGAAAAUAUGGUUUGCAUGUGGGUGGAGAAACAUUCCCUAAAGUUUACAACAAAUAAAUGACUAGAUUUUUCUAGUUUUCAUUUUUUUCCCCUUCCCAUAAAUAUAG